UGCAGGUUCCUCCAAGUCCACAAAGAUUUUCCACUUCUCAAAGGUUUGAACUUCAGCCUGCUGAGCUUCAGAGGAAGGAACAACCAUCAGCUUCUGGGAGAGCGUCUUCUGCUGUCUGGGAGGUCUGCAUCACCGGCAGGGAGUGAAGCGACACCCCCACCACAAGCUGAAGGCCAAACCGGGGCAGACGUGAUGGAUCGCUCCGGUUCCUCCGCUGUGAGCUGCAGGAUGGAGUCUGUCUCUUCUUAUAAAAACAUGAGGAACUGUUGAA